rnacentral:lncRNA from 1 species
GGCUGCGAAGGCCGUGGAUCGUCGAGUGGAUGCUUUGCGGGGAGGCAUCGGGCGAAGAUCUAGUGGGGGAAGGAGGAGAGGAUGUCGGAAAAGAUGACCGGAGAUGGUCCCGUUGAGCACUCCUUUAAGAACAAGGGUACUGCGAAGACACAGCCCCUUUCUCUAGCACCAAUCCUGUUGGUGCAAAAAUCCACGGACGUCGGAGAAGCUGGAGUCGAGGGAGCCGCGGU